rnacentral:rRNA from 9 species
GCCUGCGGAGGGAUCAUUG